UCCUCGUUCGAAGAAUCGCAAUCAAAGCUUACAUACCGACAACCUUCUCAAGAUGGUUUGUCAUUGUACACACAGCUUUGGGAGAAAGUCCCCGGACGUCCAUCUUCACUGAAGAAUGGGUUACGCGGAAACGCGCCGCCAUAGAAGCACCACCAGCGGCCCAUCCCCCUUCACUUCAACCUCCACCCCUCUCUACCCGUCUGAGGCAUCGUUUGCACUCCUUCUUGGACACGCCGUCUGCUCGGAUCUUGCUGGCUUGGAAGACAUCCUUCACGGGAUGCCUGGCAACAGGGAGCGAGGAUAUGAGCUCUGCUUCCUCGUUCUUCGCAGUGUUUCGCUGCAGUGUGCGGGUCGAGUAGGAGGAGAUGCUGCAGAAUUUGCGGUAGGAAGACAAGGUGGGCUUACAGGUUGUGGGGGUUGGGAUCUUUCGUCGCGGUUAAUAGAUAUGCGAUUGCCAGUCUUUGUCCGCAGACGGAUGGAACGGGUAACUCAAUGGGGCUCAUUCUCGAGGCGAGG
rfam:Hortaea werneckii EXF-2000 unitig_459, whole genome shotgun sequence.